GUGAAUUUGGCUUUUAAAACACUGUUAUGGGUGCCCCCCUUUAUACUUAAUAACUUUUUAGUCAUAACAUCUAUUAUUUCUAAUAAAAAUCUAGCCAUAUCAGCUUUCUUUUGGUUAAUAUUUGCCGGUUAUUUCUUUUUUUGUCUUUUUAUUUUCAAGCUUUACUUGUUCUAAGUUUUGGUGGAUCUCUUCUGAACAUCACACAACUAGAUUUAAAAAAUCCUUUCUCUCAUUAUCUGCUUUUUUGACUUAUGAGUAUACUCCAUUGGUGUAUUGUGAUUGUAGACUUAUCUGGACUUGUUUAUGCCAUGUCAUUUUAAAUUUCUAUUUGUCGCACUUUUUCUAUGGUUUUUUUUUUCUCGUUUUAUGUGAGAGAUAGUCGCGAUUGGCAAAUAUUCCUUGCACUGCCCCACAGGAACAUUCGAAUUUAGGAGAAGCAACAUGAGUAAUCCUGAGGAUAGGAAUGAAAGUGACAUGUCACUCCUGAUCCAAAGCUGGAAAGAGUGGGUUUGAGUUCUCCAUGUGUUCCUUUACCCGGCUGCAACGAUGUACAGCAUACCCGACAGCGACGCCUUCAUCAGUAAACUUCUAUCACUCAAGAUUGAAUCCUCAUCUUGUAUCAGAAUCAGCCAGCUGUCGGCCAAAAUUUGUGAUCCUGUGCAGAGAAUUGAGUUGUCACUGGAAGCAGCUACCCAGACAAGGACUAGAUUUUCCCAUUCCUCCUGCACCAGAAGUUGUCUUCCUUCCGAUGCCAACCUGUGGAAUCUGAAACCAGAUGACCAUGAGAUCCAGGAGACAGCAGAGCCAAAAGGGAAAAAAAACCCUGGAUUCCUGAAUCACCAAAUGGAAGAAAGCCACCCACAGAUCAGUAACACCCAUCCUGGCCUGUGAUGUGAGUGAGAAAGAAACUUUGAUUUUACAUAAGGUGUAGCUGACCAAAAGCAGAGCUGCUUGCAAAAGUCAUGGCUCCAAACGAGUGCCCCUCAGCAAAGGAGGAAGGGCAGCAUGUGUAGAAGUCAGGAGCCAUCGAGGUGGAGAGACGCUGGCAGACUAAUUUGCCACAGGUCACAUCUGGCUGAGUCUGCAGUGGAGGAUGGAGAAAAUUAAGAUUGUAUGUUUUCAAAUGACCCAAUAAACCCAAUGCUGCCUUGGACAAUCACUUCCCAGCCUAAGAAAACAUGCACUGAAAGCAAAGUAAAACAGUAACACUUUUUAAAAGAUAUGACUUCAGCUUCCAACCCUACUUCAGAACUUGGUGAGCUAGUGUGCGUCCUGAGAAGAAUAUCCUUAACCUAAACUAAGCUGACUUGAAUAGCUCUUAGAAUAAUAGCCGCAAAUAGGUUUCAUUUUAUUUGCCAACUCUAAUAAAUUGGUAGUGGCUUCUUGAAGUUCUAUACCAUCAAGGAUUCUAAGACUGAAGGAGAAUUCAGUGGGACAGCAUAUCACGAUGUAUUAACAACGUCUGUCAUGGGCUUGAGAAUGGAUUAUGGUGGAGAUAUUUGACAUUUCCUGACCUAAAACCAAAGCAAGUCAAGAAGACUCUUCUACCUAAUUCUAUCCCAAAGACUGAACUUAAGAUCUUACCACUAUAAAGAGAUGAAAGGCAGUACUUAUCAUUUAAAAUAAAAGCAGACACUUUGCAAGAAAAGAAUAGAGAGGAAUCUGAUCACUGAAUCUAGUUCAGAUGAAGUAAUAGAAUUAUAAUUGCAUACUACACCUGGCAAUUAUUUUUGCCCAACUGGAUAUAACAUAAGGGAUCAAAGGGUUGGGAACACUUGCUACUUUUGAAGGAGUCAUGUCCAUAGAGUGAGCCAUACAAAAGUAAGGAAAUGAAGGCCCCAAACUAAGUGAUGAUGGGAACUUGGAGAAAUGGGGAGCUAUAGCUAGUUUCACCUUUGGGAUGCAUGUCAAACUAUGUGAACUUACUGUAAAGACUGGCCCUGAGCUAACAUCUGUACCCAUCUUCCUCUACUUUAUACGUGGGAUGACUAUGACAGCAUGUCUUGCCAUGCAGUGCCAUGUCUGCACCCAGGAUCCAAACCGGCAAACUCCAGGCCACUGAGAAGCGCAACGUGCGCGCUUAAUCUCUGUGCCACCAGGCCAGCC
rnacentral:lncRNA from 1 species